GGACACUACAGGAUAGUGCCAGGAUUACGCUCACAUCGUAGAGGUCGGGGGUUCGAGUCCCUCUCUGCCCACCA
rnacentral:tRNA from 1 species